rnacentral:rRNA from 1 species
CUGAGGAGCGAAAGCGUGGGGAGCGAACAGGAUUAGAUACCCUGGUAGUCCACGCCGUAAACGAUGAGUGCUAAGUGUUAGGGGGUUUCCGCCCCUUAGUGCUGCAGCUAACGCAUUAAGCACUCCGCCUGGGGAGUACGGUCGCAAGACUGAAACUCAAAGGAAUUGACGGGGGCCCGCACAAGCGGUGGAGCAUGUGGUUUAGUUCGAAGCAACGCGAAGAACCUUACCAGGUCUUGACAUCCUCUGACAACCCUAGAGAUAGGGCUUUCCCUUCGGGGACAGAGUGACAGGUGGUGUAUGGUUGUCGUCAGCUCGUGUCGUGAGAUGUUGGGUUAAGUCCCGCAACGAGCGCAACCCUUGAUCUUAGUUGCCAGCAUUUAGUUGGGCACUCUAAGGUGACUGCCGGUGACAAACCGGAGGAAGGUGGGGAUGACGUCAAAUCAUCAUGCCCCUUAUGACCUGGGCUACACACGUGCUACAAUGGACAGAACAAAGGGCUGCGAGACCGCAAGGUUUAGCCAAUCCCAUAAAUCUGUUCUCAGUUCGGAUCGCAGUCUGCAACUCGACUGCGUGAAGCUGGAAUCGCUAGUAAUCGCGGAUCAGCAUGCCGCGGUGAAUACGUUCCCGGGCCUUGUACACACCGCCCA